rnacentral:rRNA from 1 species
GACGAACGCUGGCGGCGUGCUUAACACAUGCAAGUCGAACGGAAAGGCCCUGCUUUUGUGGGGUGCUCGAGUGGCGAACGGGUGAGUAACACGUGAGUAACCUGCCCUUGACUUUGGGAUAACUUCAGGAAACUGGGGCUAAUACCGGAUAGGAGCUCCUGCUGCAUGGUGGGGGUUGGAAAGUUUCGGCGGUUGGGGAUGGACUCGCGGCUUAUCAGCUUGUUGGUGGGGUAGUGGCUUACCAAGGCUUUGACGGGUAGCCGGCCUGAGAGGGUGACCGGCCACAUUGGGAAGGGGAUACGGCCCAGCCCCCUAGGGGGGGCAGGAGGGGGGAAUAUUGCACAAGGGGGGGAAGCCUGAUGCAGCAACGCCGGGGGCGGGAUGAGGGCCUUCGGGUUGUAAACCGCUUUCGCCUGUGACGAAGCGUGAGUGACGGUAAUGGGGAAAGAAGCACCGGCUAACUACGU